GUGGCCAAGCCAUAUCCACCUUGUUUGGGAUCUAUAACAGCAAUAGAAAAAUGUAUGAAAACUUCCAUUGAUUUAGUUCCAGAGUUUCUACUACACUUACUGGUUCCUAUCCUCCACAGACUCUUUUACUGGCAGUCACCUGGCAUCCUGUGAAAUAUUACUGCUUUCGUCUUCAAAGAGCACUAGCUUCAGAAGAGGCCGCACAGUGAUUGUGGUGGAUCAAGAGAAAAAGAACAACUCUCUACAGUCAGAUGGUGCUCACACCUGAGGUUCAAAGAAGACUCAGGAUUCCUUGAAGGAGGAGCCCAAAAUCAGCAACAGGUAGCAGCACAGCAUCCAAAGCCACCCACCUCCAAGCUUUCCCUUGGGCUGAACUGAGUUUGGGUUCCUGUCUGUUCACAAGAUGAUGUCAACCUGUGUGGCACCCAGAAGACUCACCAACCCCUGAGAGAGUAGCCAACCAUGAGUGCCAGGUAAAGGCAUGGCCCCCUCGGGUGCUCACACUGCUUCAAGAUUUCACUUGGUCUGAACAGUGAGUGCCUGGUGGGACUGGUCUGGAAGAUGGAGAUAUGACAAGCAGUGGCAUCCACAGCCAAAGAAAACAUGUUAUGGUACUGCUGCUGUUGGAGGCAUUCUUGCACCUCUUAGAUGAUGCUGACACUACCCCUCAUGAUGUCAAUGCUUGCUAAAUGAUAAGAUGUUCUGGAUGGCUCACAAGCCAGGCCUCUGCAGCUUGCUCCCUUUGCUAAGUUGACGGACACUAAUGAUUACAUAUGGACAGACCAAAAGUCUGGACUGACUUGGUUUCGUGACAAAACCAAGCCCUGUAUCUGCCAGAACUGGACCAAAGGCCUUUUGUAUCAAAUAUUUCACAACCUGUUUUGUUCUCACAGACUGGCAGGGACACAUGGAGAUGAAACUGUCCAUAUUAAAGUACUGUGAAGCCACAAAGUAUAAAUAGUAAUCCAGGUCUCAUUUUCAUAGAAGUACAGAUACAGACAGAAAUCAAAGAGCCAUUGUUCCCUAACUUCCUUGCUGCUGCAAAGGGUUACUACUUAAUUGCACUACUUGUGCCUCCCUGACAGGCACCCGAUAUGUGACUCCCCCCACUAUUUCUAUAGAUCAAAUUGCUAUUGUAAAUCACAAGACUUUUGACUCCAUUGCUGUUUAAGUCUUAAGACUGGUCUUUGAGGUGUUUUUCAAACUCUGCAUCCUGGAGACCU